rnacentral:rRNA from 1 species
UACAGAGGGUGCGAGCGUUGUCCGGAAUCACUGGGCGUAAAGGGCGCGUAGGUGGCGCCCCAAGUCCGUGGUGAAAGCUCGAUGCUCAACAUCGAGUCGGCCACGGAAACUGGGGGCUCGAGCACUGUAGGAGGCAGAUGGAAUUCCGGGUGUAGCGGUGGAAUGCGUAGAGAUCCGGAAGAACACCGGUGGCGAAGGCGGUCUGCUGGGCAGUAGCUGACACUGAGGCGCGACAGCGUGGGAGCAACAGG